AAUGGGGGCAACCCUGAUCCAGCAAUGCCGCGUGUGUGAAGAAGGCCCUAGGGUUGUAAAGCACUUUCAGUCGUGACGAUGAUGACGGUAACGACAGAAGAAGCCCCGGCUAACUCCGUGCCAGCAGCCGCGGUAAUACGGAGGGGGCAAGCGUUGUUCGGAAUUACUGGGCGUAAAGGGCGCGUAGGCGGCCAAGUCAGUCAGGCGUGAAAGCCCAGGGCUCAACCCUGGAAUUGCGCUUGAUACUGCUUGGCUCGAGACCGGAAGAGGGUAGUGGAAUUCCCAGUGUAGAGGUGAAAUUCGUAGAUAUUGGGAAGAACACCAGUGGCGAAGGCGGCUACCUGGUCCGGAUCUGACGCUGAGGCGCGAAAGCGUGGGGAGCAAACAGGAUU
rnacentral:rRNA from 1 species